GCACUGCUGUGGAGUCCCAUACUAGGACGAAACGGCCGUCCAGUAU
rnacentral:hammerhead_ribozyme from 1 species